rnacentral:rRNA from 1 species
AUUGAACGCUGGCGGCAUGCCUUACACAUGCAAGUCGAACGGCAGCAUGGAAGAGCUUGCUCUUCUGAUGGCGAGUGGCGAACGGGUGAGUAAAGCAUCGGAACGUACCGUGUAGUGGGGGAUAACGUAGCGAAAGUUACGCUAAUACCGCAUACACACUGAGGUGGAAAGCAGGGGAUCGCAAGACCUUGCGCUAUACGAGCGGCCGAUGUCAGAUUAGCUAGUUGGUAGGGUAAAGGCCUACCAAGGCGACGAUCUGUAGCGGGUCUGAGAGGAUGAUCCGCCACACUGGGACUGAGACACGGCCCAGACUCCUACGGGAGGCAGCAGUGGGGAAUUUUGGACAAUGGGCGAAAGCCUGAUCCAGCCAUGCCGCGUGAGUGAAGAAGGCCUUCGGGUUGUAAAGCUCUUUCGGCUGGGAAGAAAUCGCACAGGCUAAUACUCUGUGUGGAUGACGGUACCAGCACAAGAAGCACCGGCUAACUACGUG